UUUUAAAAUGUAAAUAUUUAAAUAGAAAACUGUUCUGUUAAAUUGUAAGAACAUUUCAAAGUUUUUACUGUAUUUUUAAAAACAUAAAUGCAGUCCUGGUGAGCAUAAGAGACUCUAUUAAACAUUUAAAAAUCAUAUUGUUUCCAGACAUCUGACGUUAAAGCACGAACAUCAUGCGAGCCCUGCUGUUUUGUGAGGAUCAUCACAGCACAUUGUUUUGGAUGACUCACUUGCAGACUCAGUUAUUUUUGGCGGAUGCUCGUGUUUUCGCCUGCUCCGCACGAACCUGGAAAAUGAGUUAUGAUAAUCCCGUGGAGCUUGUUUCUUAAUUCCCAUAAACUCUUCUGACGGCUUUUGCAAGCGCAUUCGUGCUUAUAAUGGGGCCAAGAGGGUUUGACGGCACAUCUGUCCAGCUGAAAUGUAAUACUGUAUCAUUACUAUUCAGCCUGUGAAAUCGUAGAGGAGGAUAAAAACCCUCUUCUCUUCUGCGAGAGAUGUGGCAGGAGUGGACAUUAAAUUUUAAAAGAAGAGGAUCCAAUUGUGGAUUUUAUUUAUUUAUUUAUCUUUUUCAUUAAUGCUUGGGUUUAGCCUCAGAGAAAAGAGGCACUUCUUUCAUUUUGCCGUCACAAUCGCGCAGGCAGGAGGUCUCUCGGCGUCUGCCCUUUUCCAGACGAUGAAGCUGGAAGCUCAAGAGCUUCACUGCACCGCUGUCGUUUUGUGUGAUACAGACUUUAUUUGUUCUGCUUCCUGCCCUGGCUAUCUCAUUUCUGUGGAGACCCGGAUACAUUGCCCCAGCUCCUCUCUGCAUACAAAACACUCUCAUUCGGGGAGUUCAGUGGGCCUUUGACGCUGCGUCACAAACGACGCUCUGGUUGGUGUGACUCUGACGCUGCGUCACAGAUGACGCUAGGAUUGGUCCCUGCUGAGAGGCUCUUUCCUGGCCCUGUGGACUUGAUGUGAUCCUCCAUUCUGUGUUCCUGUUGUUUUCCCUAUUUGCUCAGUGACGGCAUAAUAAACUUUUCUGUUACCUGCA
ensembl:lncRNA